rnacentral:rRNA from 1 species
CGCGAUUCGCCCUUCGGGGUGCCCAGGCGCGAAAACUUUACAAUGCUGGAAACAGCGAUAAGGGGACCUCGAGUGCCAGGUUACAAAUCUGGCUGUCGUGAUGCCUAAAAAGCAUUGCAUAGCAAGGGCCGGGCAAGACCGGUGCCAGCCGCCGCGGUAACACCGGCGGCUCGAGUGGUAACCGUUAUUAUUGGGUCUAAAGGGUCUGUAGCCGGCCGGAUAAGUCUCUUGGGAAAUCCAGCAGCUCAACUGUUGGGCUUUCAGGAGAUACUGUCUGGCUCGAGGCCGGGAGAGGUGAGAGGUACUUCAGGGGUAGGGGUGAAAUCUUGUAAUCCUUGAAGGACCACCAGUGGCGAAGGCGUCUCACCAGAACGGACCUGACGGCAAGGGACGAAAGCUAGGGGCACGAACCGGAUUAGAUACCCGGGUAGUCCUAGCCGUAAACGAUACUCGCUAGGUGUCGGCCACGGUGCGACCGUUGUCGGUGCCGUAGGGAAGCCGUGAAGCGAGCCACCUGGGAAGUACGGCCGCAAGGCUGAAACUUAAAGGAAUUGGCGGGGGAGCAC